rnacentral:rRNA from 1 species
GAUGAACGCUGGCGGCGUGCCUAAUACAUGCAAGUCGAGCGAACGGACGAGAAGCUUGCUUCUCUGAUGUUAGCGGCGGACGGGUGAGUAACACGUGGAUAACCUACCUAUAAGACUGGGAUAACUUCGGGAAACCGGAGCUAAUACCGGAUAAUAUUUUGAACCGCAUGGUUCAAAAGUGAAAGACGGUCUUGCUGUCACUUAUAGAUGGAUCCGCGCUGCAUUAGCUAGUUGGUAAGGUAACGGCUUACCAAGGCAACGAUGCAUAGCCGACCUGAGAGGGUGAUCGGCCACACUGGAACUGAGACACGGUCCAGACUCCUACGGGAGGCAGCAGUAGGGAAUCUUCCGCAAUGGGCGAAAGCCUGACGGAGCAACGCCGCGUGAGUGAUGAAGGUCUUCGGAUCGUAAAACUCUGUUAUUAGGGAAGAACAUAUGUGUAAGUAACUGUGCACAUCUUGACGGUACCUAAUCAGAAAGACAAGGCUAACUACGUG